rnacentral:lncRNA from 1 species
UGUAUGUAAAUACACAAGUGCACAUCUCCUCCAUGCAUGUAGAUGGAACUCUACAUGAUCGUAUCGAUUUUCAUGGCAGCAAUGUAAGUAGCCUUAUUGUUGGCAACAAGCAGUGCACAAUUCUGCUGCAUGCAUUCGGGGAAGCAGGUUUGUGUGGUGGAUAGUAUUACACGUAGGCAGUGUUCGAGUAGACGGAGUCGUCGUGGUUGGGCAUGUGGUAGCGGUUGGUGAACCAGGUGGUGUCCGCGGUGACCUUGUUGCCGUCGUGGUUGCGGUACCAGGCGUAGUGUGCGUGCGUGUGGUUCUUGAUGUCCAGCACGGCGUGGCCGUAGCUGUACUCCCG